UACGAAGGGGGCGAGCGUUGUUCGGAAUCACUGGGCUUAAAGCGUACGUAGGCGGCUACUCAAGUCAGGAGUGAAAUCCCAGGGCUCAACCUUGGAAUUGCUUUUGAAACUGGGUAGCUAGUGUCCCGGAGAGGUUGGCGGAAUUCCGAGUGUAGAGGUGAAAUUCGCAGAUAUUCGGAGGAACACCAGUGGCGAAGGCGGCCAACUGGACGGGUACAGACGCUGAGGUACGAAAGCGUGGGGAUCAAACAGG
rnacentral:misc_RNA from 1 species